rnacentral:tRNA from 1 species
CCCGCGAUAGCUCAACGGUAGAGCGCCCGGCUGUAGACCGGGAGGUUGCCGGUUCGAAUCCGGCUCGCGGGA